rnacentral:misc_RNA from 1 species
UACGUAGGUGGCAAGCGUUGUCCGGAAUUAUUGGGCGUAAAGCGCGCGCAGGCGGCCUCUUAAGUCUGAUGUGAAAGCCCCCGGCUCAACCGGGGAGGGCCAUUGGAACCUGGGAGGCUGGAGUAUAGGAGAGAAGUGUGGAAUUCCCCGUGUAGCGGUGAAAUGCGUAGAGAUGUGGAGGAACACCAGGGGCGAAGGCGACGCGGUGGCCUAUAACUGACGCUGAGGCGCGAAAGCGUGGGGAGCAAACAGG